rnacentral:misc_RNA from 1 species
AAAACCCGCGAAAUGAUCCGGGCAAAACCGCUACAACGACGAUUUUCCAUUUCUCAAACUGUUUAUCGGCGGCGAAGCCCGCUUUCUCAGAAUCUCCCUCUUUAAUCUUUCUCUACUUUUCCAUUGCACAUGGAAAGGGAGUUCUAGCCAUGGAAGAGGUGAUUCAACCUAGGUUUGUCAAUUCAGAACCCUAAACUUUGGGCUUCUUCCUUUUUGUAGUGACGCUCAUGGGGAAAAGAAAUAGCGUCGUCAUUUUAUCAUCGGAUGAUGAGGAUGAUGAGAGUUCACUGAGUUCGAAUCGGAGCUAUCCGAAGCCGAAAUCGUUGAUUACUCGUACGAACUCUAGAGAACCGAAGAAGCCUCGAUUUUCUGGUUCUUGGUCUCGCUUAAGCAAAGAAUCUAGCAAUGCAAAUGAGAUCACAUUUCCUUGUGAAGAUUUUGAUGAAUUUUUUUAUGGGUCCAAGGUAUCUGCUGUUUCUGGAAGGAAUAGCAUAAAGGAAUUAUGGGUUGAUAAAUACAUGCCUCGUUCUUUGGACGAACUGACUGUUCACAAGAAGAAGGUUGAAGAAGUCAAAGCGUGGUUUGAGGAAAGAUUGAGAGAUUCAAAGGAAAAUCUUAAAAAUAAUGUUAUUGUCAUCAGUGGGCAAGCUGGUGUCGGAAAAUCUACAACCAUCCAUGUGAUUGCAUCUCAUUUUGGAGCCACUUUAUGUGAAUGGAAUGCACCUACUCCCACGAUUUGGCAAGAACACAUGCAUAAUGCCAGCACAGGGAUACACUACUCAUCCAAGUUGGAUGAAUUUGUGAACUUCAUUGAGAAAAUACGGAAGUAUGGAUUAAUUCCUUCAUCAUUUUCUGCCGAAUCAAAAUCACCAAUUGUACUCUUGAUUGAUGAUCUUCCUGUGACACAUGGAAGAGUUGCUUUUGAAAGACUUCAGAACUGCCUUGUACUUCUUGCGAGAUCAACUCGGAUACCAACAGCUGUACUGAUAACUGACUAUGGUAAAGCAGAUUCAGCAGACCAUACUGCACGUUACAUGGAAGAACUUCAGUUGUCCCUUGAGAGUGCUGGAGCUUGUAAGGUUGCUUUUAACCUGAUUACAAAUAACUCCAUUAAGAAGACACUUUCAAGAAUAUGCAAACAGGAGCAGCGUAAUGUAACUUCUGAACAGAUUGAUCUCAUAGCAAAAGCCAGUGGAGGUGAUAUCAGACAUGCAAUCACAUCUUUACAGCUUUUCUGUGUGAAACCAGAUCUGGGCCUUAGUUUACCAGUGUGCAAUUCUACUCCGAGUUACUCAGAUGGAAACUCACAUGAGAUUAAUGCUUUGAUCAGUGGUUUUUCACUGCUAUUUGGUAGAGAUGAGACACUCUCUCUAUUUCAUGCCUUGGGCAAGUUUCUGCACAAUAAAAGAGAAAAUGAAGCUACAAUGGUAUCAGGUCAUCAUUAUAAACUUGCAUAGCUGUUAAAGUUUAGUAUGUGUGUGAUUUUUCAAAUGCUUGUAGUAUUCAUGUCUUGCAGGCAGUUUAAUGACGCAGUUGUAUAUAUGUCUGCAAAAUUGUUCUCCAUCGAGCUUAAUUUUUUAUUUAUUGUAGACCCAGAUGCAUUUUUUGUGCGGGACAAGUUUGCUCGGUUACCAAUGAGAAUGGAUGCUCCAGAGAAGGUUCUUUGUCAGGCACAUGGGCAGGCAAGGCCAAUUGCUGAUUUUCUGCACGAAAAUGUUUUAGAUUUUAUAAGUGAUGAAGCAAUGGAAGCUGUGUGGGAUGUGGCUUCAUAUUUGAGCGAUUCAGACUUGCUUCUUUCUUCUUUCCAUGGGGUCCUGACUAGAUAUAAUGAGGCAGAGAGUGUUCUGCAAUCAGCUGCUGCUUCAGUUGCUGUUCGCGGUGUGUUGUUCGGAAAUUCUCAUCCUUCACCUUCCAGGUGGCAUACUAUUCGUAGGCCAAAACUUUGGCAAGUUGAGCAAUUGCUAUUGCGGAAUCAGAAAGAUACUGUGAGCCAAAGAUUUAUUGCUAAUGGUGGAUCCAGCUUCUCUAAUUUGUCAGAUGUAGCUACCGAGUACUUGCCUGUGUUAAAAUGGCUUGGGCAUGGAGGCUCCUCAGGUUUUGAAGCUGAUCAUGUGCAUGCUUACAAAGAUGCAUGGGAUGACAGUAUUGAGAAGAUGAGUUUGGACUAUGAAGGCGGCCAAAUUUCUGAUGAUGAAAUAGAAGAUUGGUAAGAAAUAUUGAUUGCAUCAGAAGUAAGCUAUUUGUUCCAACAUUUGUAAAGUAAUCCAAUUGCCGUUUCUGUACUCAAGCCUUCAGAAAAUGAAUGUAUAUUUUUUUGUUCCAGGAUUACAUCUUGUGAUUUUGAAAAUUUAUGUUCAAUUUCUAGUUGAAGGUAUAUACUAAAGUGGAAUCAGUUAUACCGGGAAACUGUUGCUAUUGAUGCUGGUAAACAAAUUGGAUUUUUGUUAUUUAAUAAUUCAAAUGUACAGGAGUUUUUUGGGAAAUGGAUGAGUACUAGAAGAGCAACAUAGCCAAAGGGA